rnacentral:tRNA from 2 species
GGGGCCGUAGCGCAGAGGUCGUCGCGCUCGGCUUCCCUCCGAGAGGACGCCGGUUCGAUUCCGGCCGGUCCCG